GAGUCUGCCUUGAAGAUCGGAGUGCUUGCACUCUGUGAAACAAGAUACAGGCUAGCGGCGGACGGGUGAGUAACACGUGGGUAACCUGCCCAAGAGAUCGGGAUAACACCUGGAAACAGAUGCUAAUACCGGAUAACAACAGAUGAUGCCUAUCAGCUGUUUAAAAGAUGGUUCUGCUAUCACUCUUGGAUGGACCUGCGGUGCAUUAGCUAGUUGGUAGGGUAACGGCCUACCAAGGCGAUGAUGCAUAGCCGAGUUGAGAGACUGAUCGGCCACAUUGGGACUGAGACACGGCCCAAACUCCUACGGGAGGCAGCAGUAGGGAAUCUUCCACAAUGGACGCAAGUCUGAUGGAGCAACGCCGCGUGAGUGAAGAAGGGUUUCGGCUCGUAAAGCUCUGUUGUUGGUGAAGAAGGACGGGGGUAGUAACUGACCUUUGUUUGACGGUAAUCAAUUAGAAAGUCACGGCUAACUACGUGCCAGCAGCCGCGGUAAUACGUAGGUGGCAAGCGUUGUCCGGAUUUAUUGGGCGUAAAGCGAGUGCAGGCGGUUCGAUAAGUCUGAUGUGAAAGCCUUCGGCUCAACCGGAGAAUUGCAUCAGAAACUGUCGAGCUUGAGUACAGAAGAGGAGAGUGGAACUCCAUGUGUAGCGGCGAAAUGCGUAGAUAUAUGGAAGAACACCGGUGGCGAAGGCGGCUCUCUGGUCUGUUACUGA
rnacentral:rRNA from 1 species